GACGAACGCUGGCGGCGUGCUUAACACAUGCAAGUCGAACGGUAAGGCCCUUCGGGGUACACGAGUGGCGAACGGGUGAGUAACACGUGGGUGAUCUGCCCUGCACUUUGGGAUAAGCCUGGGAAACUGGGUCUAAUACCGGAUAGGACCAUGGACUUCACGGUUUGUGGUGGAAAGCUUUUGCGGUGUGGGAUGGGCCCGCGGCCUAUCAGCCUGUGGGUGGGGUAAUGGCCUACCAAGGCGACGACGGGUAGCCGGCCUGAGAGGGUGUCCGGCCACACUGGGACUGAGAUACGGCCCAGACUCCUACGGGAGGCAGCAGUGGGGAAUAUUGCACAAUGGGCGCAAGCCCGAUGCGGCGACGCCGCGUGGGGGAUGACGGCCUUCGGGUUGUAAACCUCUUUCAGUAGGGACGAAGCGCAAGUGACGGUACCUACAGAAGAAGCACCGGCCAACUACGUGCCAGCCGCCGCCGUAA
rnacentral:rRNA from 1 species